UGCCAAAGAGCACAGCCAAAGCCAUGAGAGAUGGGGAGUGCGACAAGGGCUGAAGGGAAGCAGAUGGAAGAGAGCUUGGCCGUGGAAAGGCAGCCUGGCCAGUAGCAUUUGGUAAGUCCCUCCCUGCACGCCAGCUCAAGGACUGUUCAGAAAGCAGCUCUGAGUGUUUUCAGCACAGUGCCCAUGAAUAAUUAACCCAAACAAAACAACAAAUAACGUUUCCUCAUCAGCACCCCAUGUGGUUUCAGCUGCCACAGGAGAAGCAUGGGUAAGACUGACUCAGCUCCUGCGGGCAGUGAAUCAGAGUGAAAUGCCCAUGAAAGGGUGAAUUCUGCCUGGGUGAUGAAGUGAGAAGGAGCUGAGGUGGACUUUGCUUAGGGCCCCAGAUGGGGACACUGGACAUCUGAGCCUCCUUCCAACUCUCUCACGAUUCCUCAGUAAGUUGCAGAUCUUAGCCUUUGUUUUCCUAUGUCUAAGUCUGAGAUAAUUUAUUCUUCCCUUUGUCAGUUAUUCUACUCUUUGUCCCUCCAGCUGUGACUCAGGUUAGGGACUGUCUGGGCCCCUGAACAGUUCCUAUACAGCGGGGCCCUGACUUCUAUGUUGAAGGCUCUUUACAGCAAGUAAGUGAUAAGCACACAAUAGGCAGUCCUGGAGCUUGACAGCCUUUAUGUAUCCAAAGGACAGAGACUGGUCGGUCACUGUUAUGGCGACUAUCUCACCUGACACUAGGGACCUGCUGUUAUACCAAAACUGCCUUAUUUUUGAGCCAGGGUUUAUAAGGCAAUGAGCCUCCUUGUGGUGUUCUUCCAUCUGUGUGCCAGUCCCCCUGCUACGAUAAAUUCUGGACCAGCUGACCUCAUUCAACCCAGUUUGAUGGAAAGAGAGUCUCCCAGACCCAAGAUUCCUGCAAUUUUCAUGAAAAAACAGCAGCUGGAUAGAAGAGAGACAUUUAAGUUAAUAUCCUACUGAAAGAAAGUUGCUGCCUUUCUUCAGAGCAGGAAGAGCUGGUUUGGUUGCUGUCCUUCAAAUGAUGGAUCUUAUCACAUGGAAAAAAGAAGAAAAAAAAAAAAAAAAAAAAAGGCAAACCACCUGGAAACAGCCACAGGUACAGCAUGAAAAAAGGUGUGGACAAGACCAAGGACCGAAGCUGAAAGGUGUGCAAGCUCCCAUCUGCGUGCCAGCCUGGGUGUAUUGCAAGACGGAGACAUCUGCAACUUCGCAUGCUGCACCACGGAUCGGAUUUCUUCUUGUCAGGAGCAUUUAUCUUUGGGAUCCUGCUAUUCAUGGGGCAUCACAGACAGGAUUACCAAAAGCACUGCUGUACUCACCUCCACCUUGGAGCCGCAGCCAGGCCUUCCCAGCCAGCUCCUUCUCCUGAGCUUCAUGAGCAGAAGACAAGCCCAGGCAGGUCAUCUCUGCUGGCCGCUGUGCUUCAGCAAGGCAGCUCAGGCUGAGGCAUGUUUCAGCAGCUCUUGUGUGUUUCUCCUGUACCCAAGUCAUGGAUGCAUCAAGUGCUUCAGUUUACAGGGCCAUCAGCCUGGCAGCUUUCCUCAGCACUAAAUUUACUUUUUAAAGUUACAUCAGUGUCGUACCCAGAGGGAACAGAGGAACAGAUGCAGCCUGUGAAGUCUGGCUUUAAUUCACCUGCCUCAUUUAAUUUCCUGCCCUGCCUUCUAAUCAAUGAGUCUGCACUAGCGGCCCUGGGAAUACAGAGGUUUUUUCAUAUACAGGAGAAUUCAACACAAUGGCUGGGCUGGCUGAGCUCUCAGGGUCUUGAGCAGUCUCUGUCACAUCUCCUUUGAGGCUGCUUCAUUAUGGAUUUCCCUCCCACAGAAGCACUUGCACACACUCUCCAAUCUGUGGCAGCUGCACCACAUUUCCUUGCAGGGGCCCGUUGGCACAGGGCAGCUGUGCCACGUUAACCACGUUAGCGUCUCGUCGUCAGGCCGGCUGGAAGUGCUCUCCUUCCAGGUGUUCCUGGUUUUCAGUCACAUGGAUUUCUUUUCAGGGCCACACGCUGCUUUCUGGGGCUCUGUCGUGCUAUUUCAGACAGGCUGCUGAGGGGAAAUGUGCCUUGUUACCUCCCAGAGGCUCCCAGCAACAUCAUGGGGGGCUUCAGAGGGGCUCCUUUCUUGAGGCAGCUGUGCCGAUGCUCCCUCGCAGGGCCUUCAGGCCAGGCUGUCGUGCUGUACUGGCCCUGGGGUGUGUCACUUCCCCUGUGUCCCUUCAGCAAGGACAGUAGCACCAUGUCACCUCAAAGGUGCUUUCAGGACUAUGUUGCCUCAGACACUCAGGGCUACCAGGGCCCCUGAUGAAAGGGUUCCUGGCACUUCUGCUUUGGUUAAGCAGACUCCUGCUGUCCUGGCUUUUUUGAGCUCAUAUUAAUUCCAGGCAGUGCUGCCCAGUUGCUUAAUCAUCUGGUGUCCAAACCCUGGGAGACACGAAGGCUGUCUUUGCCUGGUAGCACCUAUUUUGUGAAGCUGCUGCUUUACCUCAUGUAUUAUAAUCUGUAUCAGAUUGCUCUUUGCCUGCUAAAAUGGACAAUUAGGAUCCAGUUGUAAUGCAAAUUGCACGGUGGAAUAAAAACCACGGGGAACAAAAUCA